rnacentral:rRNA from 2 species
UACCCGCUGAAACUAAGCAUAUCAAUAAGCGGAGGAAAAGAAACUAACAAGGAUUCCCCUAGUAACUGCGAGUGAAGCGGGAAAAGCUCAAAUUUAAAAUCUGGUGGUCUUUGGCCAUCCGAGUUGUAAUCUGGAGAAGCGUUUUCCGCGCUGGACCGUGUACAAGUCUCUUGGAACAGAGCAUCAUAGAGGGUGAGAAUCCCGUCUGUGACACGGACUACCAAUGCUUUGUGAUCGCUCUCAAAGAGUCGCGUUGUUUGGGAAUGCAGCGCAAAAUGGGUGGUAUAUUCCAUCUAAAGCUAAAUAUUGGCGAGAGACCGAUAGCGAACAAGUACCGUGAGGGAAAGAUGAAAAGCACUUUGGAAAGAGAGUUAAACAGUACGUGAAAUUGUUGAAAGGGAAACGCUUGAAGUCAGUCGCGUUGGCCAGAACUCAGCCUUGCUCUUUUGCUUGGUGUAUUUUUUGGUGAACGGGCCAGCAUCGAUUUUGACCGUUGGAUAAAGUUCAGGGGAAUGUGGCACCUCCGGGUGUGUUAUAGCCCCUGUUCGCAUGCACCGGUUGGGAUCGAGGUUCGCAGCACGCCUUUUUGGCCGGGGUUCGCCCACGUACGUGCUUAGGAUGCUGGCAUAUGGCUUUAAACCACCCGUCUUGAAACACGGACCAAGGAGUCUAACAUGCCCGCGAGUGUUUGGGUGUAAAACCCAUGCGCGUAAUGAAAGUAAAAGUUGAGAUCCCUGUCAUGGGGAGCAUCGACGCCCGGUCUUGAGCUCUGGCGACGGAUCUGAGGUUGAGCGUGUAUGUUGGGACCCGAAAGAUGGUGAACUAUGCCUGAAUAGGGUGAAGCCAGAGGAAACUCUGGUGGAGGCUCGUAGCGAUUCUGACGUGCAAAUCGAUCGUCAAAUUUGGGUAUGCGAAAGACUAAUCGAA